rnacentral:rRNA from 1 species
GAUGAACGCUGGCGGCGUGCCUAAUACAUGCAAGUCGAGCGAACAGAUGAGGAGCUUGCUCCUCUGACGUUAGCGGCGGACGGGUGAGUAACACGUGGAUAACCUACCUAUAAGACUGGGAUAACUUCGGGAAACCGGAGCUAAUACCGGAUAAUAUAUUGAACCGCAUGGUUCAAUAGUGAAAGACGGUUUUGCUGUCACUUAUAGAUGGAUCCGCGCCGCAUUAGCUAGUUGGUAAGGUAACGGCUUACCAAGGCAACGAUGCGUAGCCGACCUGAGAGGGGGAUCGGCCACACUGGAACUGAGACACGGUCCAGACUCCUACGGGAGGCAGCAGUAGGGAAUCUUCCGCAAUGGGCGAAAGCCUGACGGAGCAACGCCGCGUGAGUGAUGAAGGUCUUCGGAUCGUAAAACUCUGUUAUUAGGGAAGAACAAAUGUGUAAGUAACUAUGCAUGUCUUGACGGUACCUAAUCAGAAAGCCACGGCUAACUACGUG